rnacentral:rRNA from 1 species
AGGACGAACGCUGGCGGCGUGCUUAACACAUGCAAGUCGAGCGGAAAGGCCCUUCGGGGUACUCGAGCGGCGAACGGGUGAGUAACACGUGAGCAACCUGCCCUUAGCUUCGGGAUAGCUCCGGGAAACCGGAAUUAAUACCGAAUAUGAUUUUGCUGACAUCAGCAGAAGUGGAAAGUUUUCGGCUAGGGAUGGACUCGCGGCCUAUCAGCUAGUUGGUGAGGUAACGGCCCACCAAGGCGACGACGGGUA